AUUGAACGCUGGCGGCAGGCUUAACACAUGCAAGUCGAGCGGAGAUGAGGUGCUUGCACCUUAUCUUAGCGGCGGACGGGUGAGUAAUGCUUAGGAAUCUGCCUAUUAGUGGGGGACAACAUUCCGAAAGGAAUGCUAAUACCGCAUACGUCCUACGGGAGAAAGCAGGGGAUCUUCGGACCUUGCGCUAAUAGAUGAGCCUAAGUCGGUUUAGCUGGUUGGUGGGGUAAAGGCCUACCAAGGCGACGAUCUGUAGCGGGUCUGGGAGGCUGCUCCGCCACACGGGGACUGAGACACGGCCCAGACUCCUACGGGGGGCAGCAGUGGGGCAUAUUGGACAAUGGGGGUAACCCUCAUCCAGCCAUGCCGCGUGUGUGAAGAAGGCCUUAUGGUUGUAAAGCACUUUAAGCGAGGAGGAAGCUACUGAGACUAAUACUCUUGGAUAGUGGACGUUACUCGCAGAAUAAGCACCGGCUAACUCUGUGCCAGCCGCCGCCGUAAUAC
rnacentral:rRNA from 1 species